UACGUAGGGUGCGAGCGUUAAUCGGAAUUACUGGGCGUAAAGAGCGCGCAGGCGGUCGUUCAAGUCGCGUGUGAAAGCCCCCGGCUCAACUGGGGAGGGUCACGCGAUACUGCUCGACUUGAAGGCAGGAGAGGGAAGUGGAAUUCCCGGUGUAGUGGUGAAAUGCGUAGAUAUCGGGAGGAACACCAGUGGCGAAGGCGACUUCCUGGCCUGUUCUUGACGCUGAGGCGCGAAAGCUAGGGGAGCAAACGGGG
rnacentral:rRNA from 1 species